GGGGUGCUUACCAUGCAGUCGAACGAUGAACCGCUUUCGGGCGGGGAUUAGUGGCGAACGGGUGAGUAACACGUGGGCAAUCUGCCCUGCACUCUGGGACAAGCCCUGGAAACGGGGUCUAAUACCGGAUAUGACUGUCCAUCGCAUGGUGGAUGGUGUAAAGCUCCGGCGGUGCAGGAUGAGCCCGCGGCCUAUCAGCUUGUUGGUGAGGUAGUGGCUCACCAAGGCGACGACGGGUAGCCGGCCUGAGAGGGCGACCGGCCACACUGGGACUGAGACACGGCCCAGACUCCUACGGGAGGCAGCAGUGGGGAAUAUUGCACAAUGGGCGAAAGCCUGAUGCAGCGACGCCGCGUGAGGGAUGACGGCCUUCGGGUUGUAAACCUCUUUCAGCAGGGAAGAAGCGAAAGUGACGGUACCUGCAGAAGAAGCGCCGGCUAACUACGUGCCAGCAGCCGCGGUAAUACGUAGGGCGCAAGCGUUGUCCGGAAUUAUUGGGCGUAAAGAGCUCGUAGGCGGCUUGUCACGUCGGUUGUGAAAGCCCGGGGCUUAACCCCGGGUCUGCAGUCGAUACGGGCAGGCUAGAGUUCGGUAGGGGAGAUCGGAAUUCCUGGUGUAGCGGUGAAAUGCGCAGAUAUCAGGAGGAACACCGGUGGCGAAGGCGGAUCUCUGGGCCGAUACUGACGCUGAGGAGCGAAAGCGUGGGGA
rnacentral:rRNA from 1 species